rnacentral:rRNA from 1 species
AUUGAACGCUGGCGGCAUGCCUUACACAUGCAAGUCGAACGGUAACAGGUUAAGCUGACGAGUGGCGAACGGGUGAGUAAUGUAUCGGAACGUGCCCAGUCGUGGGGGAUAACUGCUCGAAAGAGCAGCUAAUACCGCAUACGACCUGAGUGUGAAAGCGGGGGAUCGCAAGACCUCGCGCGAUUGGAGCGGCCGAUAUCAGAUUAGGUAGUUGGUGAGGUAAAGGCUCACCAAGCCGACGAUCUGUAGCUGGUCUGAGAGGACGACCAGCCACACUGGGACUGAGACACGGCGCAGACUCCUACGGGAGGCAGCAGUGGGGAAUUUUGGACAAUGGGCGCAAGCCUGAUCCAGCCAUGCCGCGUGCGGGAAGAAGGCCUUCGGGUUGUAAACCGCUUUUGGCAGGGAAGAAAAGGUUCUGGCUAAUACCUGGGACUCAUGACGGUACCUGAAGAAUAAGCACCGGCUAACUACGUG